CCUACGGGUGGCAGCAGUGAGGAAUAUUGGUCAAUGGACGAGAGUCUGAACCAGCCAAGUAGCGUGAAGGAUGACUGCCCUAUGGGUUGUAAACUUCUUUUAUAAAGGAAUAAAACGAGGCACGUGUGCCUUUUUGCAUGUACUUUAUGAAUAAGGAUCGGCUAACUCCGUGCCAGCAGCCGCGGUAAUACGGAGGAUCCGAGCGUUAUCCGGAUUUAUUGGGUUUAAGGGGAGCGUAGAUGGGUUGUUAGGUAAGUUGUGAAAGUUUGCGGUUAAACCGUAUAAUUGCAAUUGAUACUGGCAGUCUGGAGUACGGUUGCGGUAGGCGGAAUGCGUGGUGUAGCGGUGAAAUGCAUAGAUAUCACGAAGAACCCCGAUUGCGAAGGCAGCUUACUAAACUGUGACUGACAUUGAUGCUCGAAAGUGUGGGUAUCAAACAGGAUUAGAUACCCCGGUAGUC
rnacentral:rRNA from 1 species